GACGAACGCUGGCGGCGUGCCUAAUACAUGCAAGUCGAGCGGAUCUUUAGGAGCUUGCUCCUGAAGAUUAGCGGCGGACGGGUGAGUAACACGUGGGCAACCUGCCUGUAAGACUGGGAUAACACCGGGAAACCGGUGCUAAUACCGGAUAAUUCUUUCCUUCACAUGAGGGAAAGCUGAAAGUCGGUUUCGGCUGACAUUUACAGAUGGGCCCGCGGCGCAUUAGCUAGUUGGUGAGGUAACGGCUCACCAAGGCGACGAUGCGUAGCCGACCUGAGAGGGUGAUCGGCCACACUGGGACUGAGACACGGCCCAGACUCCUACGGGAGGCAGCAGUAGGGAAUCUUCCGCAAUGGACGAAAGUCUGACGGAGCAACGCCGCGUGAGUGAUGAAGGCCUUCGGGUCGUAAAACUCUGUUGUUAGGGAAGAACAAGUAUCGGAGUAACUGCCGGUACCUUGACGGUACCUAACCAGAAAGCCACGGCUAACUACGUGCCAGCCGCCGCCGUAAGAC
rnacentral:rRNA from 1 species